AGUGAACGCUGGCGGUAGGCCUAACACAUGCAAGUCGAACGGCAGCACAGUAAGAGCUUGCUCUUGCGGGUGGCGAGUGGCGGACGGGUGAGGAAUACAUCGGAAUCUACUUUUUCGUGGGGGAUAACGUAGGGAAACUUACGCUAAUACCGCAUACGACCUACGGGUGAAAGCAGGGGAUCUUCGGACCUUGCGCGAUUGAAUGAGCCGAUGUCGGAUUAGCUAGUUGGCGGGGUAAAGGCCCACCAAGGCGACGAUCCGUAGCUGGUCUGAGAGGAUGAUCAGCCACACUGGAACUGAGACACGGUCCAGACUCCUACGGGAGGCAGCAGUGGGGAAUAUUGGACAAUGGGCGCAAGCCUGAUCCAGCCAUACCGCGUGGGUGAAGAAGGCCUUCGGGUUGUAAAGCCCUUUUGUUGGGAAAGAAAAGCAGCAGGUUAAUACCCCGCUGUUCUGACGGUGCCCAAAGAAUAAGCACCGGCUAACUUCGUG
rnacentral:rRNA from 1 species